GAUCCUGGCUCAGAUUGAACGCUGGCGGCAUGCCUUACACAUGCAAGUCGAACGGUAACAGGUCUUCGGAUGCUGACGAGUGGCGAACGGGUGAGUAAUACAUCGGAACGUGCCCGAUCGUGGGGGAUAACGGAGCGAAAGCUUUGCUAAUACCGCAUACGAUCUACGGAUGAAAGCGGGGGAUCUUCGGACCUCGCGCGGACGGAGCGGCCGAUGGCAGAUUAGGUAGUUGGUGGGAUAAAAGCUUACCAAGCCGACGAUCUGUAGCUGGUCUGAGAGGAUGAUCAGCCACACUGGGACUGAGACACGGCCCAGACUCCUACGGGAGGCAGCAGUGGGGAAUUUUGGACAAUGGGCGCAAGCCUGAUCCAGCCAUGCCGCGUGCAGGAUGAAGGCCUUCGGGUUGUAAACUGCUUUUGUACGGAACGAAAAGGUGCCUUCUAAUAAAGGGCGCUCAUGACGGUACCGUAAGAAUAAGCACCGGCUAACUACGUGCCAGCAGCCGCCGGUAAUACGUAGGGUGCGAGCGUUAUCGGAAUUACUGGGCGUAAAGCGUGCGCAGGCGGUUUUUGUAAAGACCACGAGGUGAAAUCCC
rnacentral:rRNA from 1 species